rnacentral:rRNA from 1 species
UGGCGGCAUGCCUUACACAUGCAAGUCGAACGGCAGCACGGGAGCAAUCCUGGUGGCGAGUGGACGAACGGGUGAGUAAUGUAUCGGAACGUACCGUGUAGUGGGGGAUAACGUAGCGAAAGUUACGCUAAUACCGCAUACGCACUGAGGUGGAAAGCAGGGGAUCGCAAGACCUUGCGCUAUACGAGCGGCCGAUGUCAGAUUAGCUAGUUGGUAGGGUAAAGGCCUACCAAGGCGACGAUCUGUAACGGGUCUGAGAGGAUGAUCCGCCACACUGGGACUGAGACACGGCCCAGACUCCUACGGGAGGCAGCAGUGGGGAAUUUUGGACAAUGGGCGAAAGCCUGAUCCAGCCAUGCCGCGUGAGUGAAGAAGGCCUUCGGGUUGUAAAGCUCUUUCGGCUGGGAAGAAAUCGCACAGGCUAAUACUCUGUGUGGAUGACGGUACCAGCACAAGAAGCACCGGCUAACUACGUG